rnacentral:rRNA from 1 species
GAUGAACGCUAGCGGCAGGCUUAACACAUGCAAGUCGAGGGGCAGCGGGAGUAGCAAUACUUGCCGGCGACCGGCGCAAGGGUGCGUAACGCGUGAGCAACAUGCCCGUAUCAGGGGGAUAAUCCAUGGAAACGUGGUCUAAUACCCCAUAGUAAAUUUUUGGGGCAUCUCAAAGAUUUUAAAGCUUUGGUGGAUACGGAUUGGCUCGCGUGACAUUAGCUAGAUGGUAAGGUAACGGCUUACAAUGGCUACGAUGUCUAGGGGUUCUGAGAGGAAGGUCCCCCAGACGCGAACUGAGCCACGGUCCAGAGUCCUACGGAAGUAAGCAGUGAGGAAUAUUGGACAAUGGAUGGAAACCUGAUCCAGCCAUGCCGCGUGCAGGAAGACGGCCCUAUGGGUUGUAAACUGCUUUUAUAUGGGAGCAAUAAGGUCUACGUGUAGACCGAUGAGAGUACCAUACGAAUAAGCACCGGCUAACUCCGUGCCAGCAGCCGCCGUAA